rnacentral:lncRNA from 1 species
UCUCUUGAUGGCAGGACCUGACAUCUCUUGUACCAAACACCAAGCAUAGCCCUCCAGUAAUGCUCAAUAAAUGCUUGCUGAUGACUAUGUUGAUGAAGAAAAAAACAGUUCUAUGAUCAAAAUAAUCAGGAGGAAGGGGAAUUUUAAUUUGGACUAUCCAAUUUGCAUAGGAGAACAAACCUCUUGAUUCUUACCGACUUUGGUGAUGCCAUUUCAAGAGCCCCUGCUAUGUGCAGAGCUCUCCAUUCAGUGGAGGAACCCUCUAGGGCUAAGACCUGAUUUCUGUCCUUAGGGAGCUCAAAGGUCAACGGAGGCGACUGCACUCAGAUCUAAGACACAGACAUUUUUACUGAAUUAACAUGACCGUUGCAGGUUCUGACACUACCCAAGAAGAGUUUGGAGGCUCUGGUAUGCUCUGAUGGUAGGAGGAGAUGGUACAGGGAGGCCACAAAGACUGAUGCUCUUUGGUUCUCCAGUUGUCUUUCAGGAGGUGUAGCCUGGUUGUGGCCUGGGGAGUUUGGCUGUUCUGUGUGGUGUGCCUCCACGGUGUGGUCUCCAGUGAGCUGCUCAGCAGUUCUCCUACCCUGGAGAAUCCUGUGUAGACCCGGGCAGGGCGAAGCUCUCUGGGCUGUUGACUGUGAGGCCCCUCCCCACCGGUAGAUUUCCAAGCCUCUUCAGUUUUGCAUUCAGCCACAGCAGGUGACUUUUAUUGUGUGUGUUUUGCCCUCACAGGUAAACUCCUCCAGGGCAGGACCUGACUCUUCAGAGGAAUUUUUUAAUCCCCCUCCCCAGAAGUGCCCACGUCAAGGCCAUAGUAGAGAAGGAGCUCAAGAGCAAUCCCUAAGCAACCACGCUUGGAAGCAUCCUGCAACAGAGGGAUUUGUUCCAGACUCAGAUUUAAUCCACUAUUACCUUUUCGUAAGACAAGUGUUGUCUGAAGGAGUCUGUGUGUAAUUUUGAGACAAAAGGAUUGCAGAACUCAGCUCCCAGGUUGUCUCAUAUCUGAUUCUUCGAAAGAGGAAAAGAAGCGAACUCUUCUGCACAAUAGCUGAGCAGAUAGGAGAGAAAAAGCUUGAAGAUUCACAGUGGAGCAAGGCUAAUUGGAGCCUUCCUCAGAGCAGCUCAACUAUCCCAGUUUUACCUAUCCCAUUCCUUGCCAUUCCCACUUGUAAUUCUGUCUUGGCAAGAACACCAUACUGAAGGUUCUUAAAGCAGUUUGUAGACUUUAAUUAGUUCUGUGGAAAGUCAGUCAAAGCUCAGCCUUCAUUCUGCCAACAGAGACAACAGUGGUGGGUGUGGAAGGAAGGCAAGAAGAAGAUGGACACCCAGAGCAGUUGUGCAACUUACUGAAGGCCAUGUGGAUAGGAGGAACUGGGUUUAAAACCCCUGAGUCUUGAUAAAAGUGUCUUAGCCUUCUAGAUUCCUAAACAGGUAGUGGGCUCAUCCUACUAACCUACUUUGCUAGGGUGUUGUUGAUGAAUGCUUAUAAACCCUGUCCUAGAUGAUAGGUUUGGAAGAUUGUUAAAGAAAGCAUGUCAUUAAGUCCCUACUCACCCCCUCCUUGACAAAUAGCCCUGGAGGGAAAUGAAUAUUAGCCAGAAUCGUAGGGCCUCCACUUCAAUGGAAUGAACUGAGAUUCAACAACAAGAGAAAUGUUCCAACAGUGAGGGAAAUCAACAAUGUGCUGGGGGUGAAGGGUAGGGGUUGGGAAGGCCUAAACAGGUGACCAUUGCCAGACAGCCCAGACAAGAUCAUCACAGAAUAGCUGAUUCCCAUUAGACACUGUGGGUGAUCAUUAUCUUAAAAUUCAGGACACUAUUUUUGUAGUAGUUUCCCUUCCUCUCUUUGUAAGAGCAGAAGACCUCUCUGGGGCCUAUCACAAGACAAGCGGGUGUUUGCAAAUGAGGGACGUACUUUGAGACUGAAUUGCUCUGUGCUUCUCUAAAAGACAUGGUUAAGAGUUUGGGCGCUGAUGUUAGAGACUGAGAUUAAAAUCCUUCCUUGCCACUUCCAUCAGUAUAAAUUUGGAUAAGUUUCUUAACUUCUCUAAGCCUUGAUUUUCUCACCUAUAAAAUGGGCCUAAUAAUAGUGCCUAACUUAGAGGUUUGUUGUAAAGGUUAAAUGCAAUUAUUCAGGUAAAGCCUUAAUGGAGCCUGAUAUGUAGUAAGCACUCAAUCCAUUUUAUCUACUGACUCUUUUCUCUGUGUGGGUUACCCACUUUGGAGAUUGUCCCCAGUAAUUUCUUUGGUCAAGUCUUGAUCUCCCUGGCCCCUUGGCUGUCUUCUCCCACCAUGAUCAGUGAGAAGUUGAGGAGCACUAAUACCAAAUUCUUUUUCAUGUUAGUUAGGAGAAAGCAGAAUUACGAAGGUCAACCUGCUGGUGUAAAAAAAUAUUACAUAGAUUAGCCCUGCUCUACAUAUUAGAUAUGUUCUCAAAAUGCCUAAGUGGCCUUUUUUUUUUUUUUUAAUUUAAGUUCUAGGGUACAUGUGCACAACGUGCAGGUUUGUUACAUGUGUAUACAUGUGCCAUGUUGGUGUGUGGCACCCAUUAACUUGUCAUUUACAUUAGGUAUAUCUCCUAAUGCUAUCCCUCCCACCCCCACCCCCUGGCAGGCCCUGGUGUGUGAUGUUCCCCACCCUGUGUCCAUGUGUUCUCGUUGUUCAAUUCCCACCUAUGAGUGAGAACACACGUGUUUGGGUUUUUGUCCUUGCGAUACUUUGCCAAGAAUGAUGGUUUCCAGCUUCAUCC